rnacentral:rRNA from 1 species
UACGUAGGCAGCGAGCGUUGUUCGGAGUUACUGGGCGUAAAGAGUGCGUAGGCGGUUUUCUAAGUUUGGUGUGAAAUCUCCCGGCUCAACUGGGAGGGUGCGCCGAAGACUGGAAGGCUUGAGUAUGGGAGAGGUAAGCGGAAUUCCUGGUGUAGCGGUGAAAUGCGUAGAUAUCAGGAGGAACACCGGUGGUGUAGACGGCUUUCUGGACCGUAACUGACGCUGAGACACGAAAGCGUGGGUAGCAAACAGG